UACUGCCCUUCUCAUCGGAAUAACCAUUGGAAACGAUGGCUAAUGCCGAAUAUGACCUCGGAUCACAUGUUCUGAGGUGGAAAGCUCCGGCGGAGAAGGAUGAGCUCGCGGCCUAUCAGCUUGUUGGUGAGGUAAUAGCUCACCAAGGCGAUGACGGGUAGCCGGCCUGAGAGGGUGACCGGCCACACUGGGACUGAGACACGGCCCAG
rnacentral:rRNA from 1 species